AUUGAACGCUAGCGGCAUGCUUAACACAUGCAAGUCGAACGGCAGCGCGGGGAGCUUGCUCCCUGGCGGCGAGUGGCGGACGGGUGAGUAACGCGUAGGAAUCUACCUUAAAGUGGGGGACAACCCGGGGAAACUCGGGCUAAUACCGCAUAAUCUCUACGGAGCAAAGCAGGGGAUCUUCGGACCUUGCGCUUUAAGAUGAGCCUGCGUUAGAUUAGCUUGUUGGUGGGGUAAUGGCCUACCAAGGCGACGAUCUAUAGCUGGUCUGAGAGGACGAUCAGCCACACUGGGACUGAGACACGGCCCAGACUCCUACGGGAGGCAGCAGUGGGGAAUAUUGGACAAUGGGGGCAACCCUGAUCCAGCAAUGCCGCGUGUGUGAAGAAGGCCUUCGGGUUGUAAAGCACUUUCAGUAGAGAAGAAAGGCUUAAGGUUAAUAGCCUUGAGAGUUGACGUUAUCUACAGAAGAAGCACUGGCUAACUCUG
rnacentral:rRNA from 1 species